rnacentral:rRNA from 1 species
UGGGGAAUAUUGCACAAUGGGCGCAAGCCUGAUGCAGCCAUGCCGCGUGUGUGAAGAAGGCCUUCGGGUUGUAAAGCACUUUCAGCGAGGAGGAAGGCGUUAAGGUUAAUAACCUUGGCGAUUGACGUUACUCGCAGAAGAAGCACCGGCUAACUCCGUGCCAGCAGCCGCGGUAAUACGGAGGGUGCAAGCGUUAAUCGGAAUUACUGGGCGUAAAGCGCACGCAGGCGGUUUGUUAAGUCAGAUGUGAAAUCCCCGAGCUUAACUUGGGAACUGCAUUUGAAACUGGCAAGCUAGAGUCUUGUAGAGGGGGGUAGAAUUCCAGGUGUAGCGGUGAAAUGCGUAGAGAUCUGGAGGAAUACCGGUGGCGAAGGCGGCCCCCUGGACAAAGACUGACGCUCAGGUGCGAAAGCGUGGGGCAGCAAACAGGAUUAGAUACCCUGGUAGUCCACGCUGUAAAUGAUGUCGAUUUGGAGGUUGUGGGCUUGACCCGUGGCUUCCGGAGCUAACGCGUUAAAUCG